rnacentral:rRNA from 1 species
AUUGAACGCUGGCGGCAUGCCUUACACAUGCAAGUCGAACGGCAGCCCGGGGGCAACCCUGGUGGCGAGUGGCGAACGGGUGAGUAAUGCAUCGGAACGUGCCCCGUAGCGGGGGAUAACCAGUCGAAAGACUGGAUAAUACCGCAUACGACCUACGCGUAAAAGCGGGGGACCGCAAGGCCUCGCGCUCUUGGAGCGGCCGAUGUCUGAUAAGCUAGUUGGCGGGGUAAGAGGCCACCAAGGCGACGAUCAGUAGCUGGUCUGAGAGGACGACCAGCCACACCGGGACUGAGACACGGCCCAGACUCCUACGGGAGGCAGCAGUGGGGAAUAUUGGACAAUGGGCGGAAGCCUGAUCCAGCCAUGCCGCGUGUGUGAAGAAGGCCUUUUGGUUGUAAAGCACUUUAAGCGAGGAGGAGGCUACCUGGAUUAAUACUCUGGGAUAGUGGACGUGACUCGCAGAAUAAGCACCGGCUAACUCUGUGCCAGCAGCCGCAGUAAGAC